GAUGAACGCUAGCUACAGGCUUAACACAUGCAAGUCGAGGGGAAACGACAUCGAAAGCUUGCUUUUGAUGGGCGUCGGCCGGCGCACGGGUGAGUAACGCGUAUCCAACCUGCCCAUCACUUGGGAAUAACCUUGCGAAAGUAAGACUAAUACCCAAUGAUAUCCCACGAAGGCAUCGGAAUGGGAUUAAAGAUUUAUCGGUGAUGGAUGGGGAUGCGUCUGAUUAGCUUGUUGGCGGGGUAACGGCCCACCAAGGCAACGAUCAGUAGGGGUUCUGAGAGGAAGGUCCCCCACAUUGGAACUGAGACACGGUCCAAACUCCUACGGGAGGCAGCAGUGAGGAAUAUUGGUCAAUGGGCGAGAGCCUGAACCAGCCAAGUAGCGUGCAGGAAGACGGCCCUAUGGGUGGUAAACUGCUUUUAUAAGGGAAUAAAGUGGGUCACGUGUGACUUUUUGCAUGUACCUUAUGAAUAAGGACCGGCUAAUUCCGUG
rnacentral:rRNA from 1 species